rnacentral:lncRNA from 1 species
CCAGGUGUCACAAUGGGCAACAGGGGAGGAAUGUCCUUUUUCACAUCCCUUCCUCACUUGCCUCUGCAAAUCACUCGUCUUUCUCACUACUCUCAUGACACAUCAGUUGAUAAUGCAUGAUUUCUUCUGAGACAUGCCCAUUUUAAUAACACCCAACAAAAUUCCAGGGGUCUUGAUAGGCAGAGCCUAGAGAAUGGGUUUUUUUUUUGUUUGUUUUUUCAUUUUUUUUUUUAAAGUGAAACCCCAGUGCCUCACCUAGAGAAUUCCUGACUCGCUACUGGUUGGACUUUGCUCCUUUUUCCCUAAGAGGUCUAAGGGCAUCUUUUCUGCUGCUUUGGAAGAACUCUCAUUUCAGGAUAUGCUCAAAGUGUCAAGAGAUCAAAUUUAGACAGGAUGGUGCUGGAAUGUGACUUUCUUUCCAGACUAGGUACUCUUCAAGUUGGCCUGUUUGAUGUCUUCUAUCUCAUGGAGCCCCUACGCAUUUCUUUUUUCAUUUCCCUUUAAAUUAGUCCACUUGGACAAAUAAUUAGGCAGUACUGCAAAGCAGGCAGUGGCUCAGUCCUAGGGAGACAAAGAUGUGUCAGACCCAGUUUGUUCUCAAGGAAUCCCAUGUUUAGAGAUGGAGAGAAAACAGUUACAUGGACAUAGAUAGGGAGAACAGACGUGUGAAAAAUGGUAAAGACACACAGCAAAGGCACAAGAAGACAGUACAGCUUGGGGUGAGGCCAGGUACGGCUUCCCAGAAGAGGUAGGCAUAAGCCUUGAAGGGGGCAGAAAUAAAGAGGCAGAGUAUUUCUAAUACUUCAAUGAUGUUCCCUGGCGCAAGAAUCCCUUGAGGGAAAUGUCUUCUCUCCCUUUGAACUCAGCG